UGUUUGCAAACUUGGGAUAGAAAGC
rnacentral:piRNA from 1 species